rnacentral:rRNA from 1 species
GAUGAACGCUGGCGGCGUGCCUAAUACAUGCAAGUCGAGCGAACAGACGAGGAGCUUGCUCCUCUGACGUUAGCGGCGGACGGGUGAGUAACACGUGGAUAACCUACCUAUAAGACUGGGAUAACUUCGGGAAACCGGAGCUAAUACCGGAUAAUAUAUUGAACCGCAUGGUUCAAUAGUGAAAGACGGUUUUGCUGUCACUUAUAGAUGGAUCCGCGCCGCAUUAGCUAGUUGGUAAGGUAACGGCUUACCAAGGCAACGAUGCGUAGCCGACCUGAGAGGGUGAGCGGCCAUACUGGAACUGAGACACGGUCCAGACUCCUACGGGAGGCAGCAGUAGGGAAUCUUCCGCAAUGGGCGAAAGCUUGACGGAGCAACGCCGCGUGAGUGAUGAAGGUCUUCGGAUCGUAAAACUCUGUUAUUAGGGAAGAACAAAUGUGUAAGUAACUAUGCACGUCUUGACGGUACCUAAUCAGAAAGCCACGGCUAACUACGUG